AUUGAACGCUGGCGGCAGGCCUAACACAUGCAAGUCGAACGGCAGCACAGUACUAGCUUGCUCUUACGGGUGGCGAGUGGCGGACGGGUGCUGAAUACAUCGGAAUCUACUUUUUCGUGGGGGAUAACGUAGGGAAACUUACGCUAUUACCGCAUACGACCUACGGGUGAAAGCAGGGGAUCUUCGGACCUUGCGCGAUUGAAUGAGCCGAUGUCGGAUUAGCUAGUUGGCGGGGUAAAGGCCCACCAAGGCGACGAUCCGUAGCUGGUCUGAGAGGAUGAUCAGCCACACUGGAACUGAGACACGGUCCAGACUCCUACGGGAGGCAGCAGUGGGGAAUAUUGGACAAUGGGCGCAAGCCUGAUCCAGCCAUACCGCGUGGGUGAAGAAGGCCUUCGGGUUGUAAAGCUCUUUUGUUGGGAAAGAAAAGCAGCAGGUUAAUACCCCGCUGUUCUGACGGUACCCAAAGAAUAAGCACCGGCUAACUUCGUG
rnacentral:rRNA from 1 species